UUGGAAUUCUGAGCAAUUCUUCUCCGGGAAUUGCGCUGGGAAUUCUCGGGAAUGUUCUCCUCCGCUGCACGGACCCUCAGAGCAGCAGGAACUGGAGGCCGGGGAUGGAAUCCCAGGGAAAUCGGGCUGGAAUUUCGGGAAUGUAGGGAGAGGAGGGAAGGGAUGGCACGGAAUGAGUCGGGGUGGCACAGGACAAGGUGGCACAGGGCAGAGUGGCACAGGGUGAGGCAGGGAUGACACGACAGGGGUGACACAGGACAGGGAUGGCACAGAGAGGGGCAGGGGUGGCACAGGGUGAGGGUGGCACAGGGCAGGACAGGGUGGCACAGGACAGGACGGGGUGGCACAGGGUGAGGGUGGCACAGGGUGAGGGUGGCACAGGGCAGGACAGGGGUGGCACAGGGCAGGACAGGGUGGCACAGGACAGGACGGGGUGGCACAGGGUGAGGGUGGCACAGGGUGAGGGUGGCACAGGGCAGGACAGGGUGGCACAGGACAGGACGGGGUGGCACAGGGUGAGGGUGGCACAGGGUGAGGGUGGCACAGGGCAGGACAGGGUGGCACAGGACAGGACGGGGUGGCACAGGGUGAGGGUGGCACAGGGUGAGGGUGGCACAGGGCAGGACAGGGUGGCACAGGACAGGACGGGGUGGCACAGGGUGAGGGUGGCACAGGGUGAGGGUGGCACAGGGCAGGACAGGGUGGCACAGGACAGGACGGGGUGGCACAGGGUGAGGGUGGCACAGGGUGAGGGUGGCACAGGGCAGGACAGGGUGGCACAGGACAGGACGGGGUGGCACAGGGUGAGGGUGGCACAGGGUGAGGGUGGCACAGGGCAGGACAGGGGUGGCACAGGGUGAAGGUGGCACAAGGUGAGGGUGGCACAGGGCAGGACAGGAGUGGCACAGGGUGAAGGGGGGGGGGGGGGGGGGGGGGGGGGGGGGGGGGGGGGGGGGGGGGGGGGGGGGGGGGGGGGGGGGGGG
rnacentral:lncRNA from 12 species